GACGUAGGGGGCGAGCGUUGUCCGGAUUUACUGGGCGUAAAGGGCGCGUAGGCGGUCUGUUAAGUGUGAAGCUAAAUCUCCAAGCUCAACUUGGAAAUCAUUUCGCAUACUGGCAGACUGGAGGAAGGAAGAGGUAACUGGAAUUCCUGGUGUAACGGUGAAAUGUGUUGAUAUCAGGAGGAACUCCAAUGGCGAAGGCAGGUUACUGGUCCUUUUCUGACGCUGAGGCGCGAAAGCGUGGGUAGCAAACAGG
rnacentral:rRNA from 1 species